rnacentral:lncRNA from 1 species
GUCUUGCUCUGUCACCCAGGCUGGAGUGCAGUGAUACAAUCUCAGCUCACUGCAACCUCUGCCUCCUGGGUUCAAGUGAUUCUCCUGCCUCAGCCUCCUGAGUAGCUGAGAUUACAAGCGCCUGCCAUCACAUCCUGCUAAUUUUUGUAUUUUCAGUAGAGACGGGGUUUCACCAUGUUGGCCAGGCUGGUCUCGAACUCCUGACCUCAUGUGAUCCACCUGCCUCGGCCUCCCAAAGUGCUGGGAUUACAGGCGUGAGCCACUGCGCCGGGGCUAAGUCACAAUAAGUUUUGUUGCAUGCGGUUGUAACUUUCAGCUUUAUUUUGGGUGCAUUAUUGACCUGGACCUUGCAUUGAAUUUUUAACCAAUCCACGGGGAAAUCAUGGGUGAGGUCUGGGGAGAGGUCAUCAUCCAGAAGCCCCAGAGUCACAAGGGUGGGGCCCAGAUCACAGCCCCUGGUGAAACAGUGUGGCUGGUGCCUCCUACUUCACACACACCCAGCAUUCCGUAACCCAGGAAACCAAACUCCCCUGGCCCCCACCUCCCAAGCUGUCACAGGCCCCAUGCAUGGCCCCGCUCUCUCCCAUAAGGGCACCAUCCGUGUGCUGUUGUGUGGGCCGAGAUCCUACCUUGCCUCUGAGUGUCAUAGUCUGAGAAGAUGUGGGCUACAGACUCAGAUACUGUAGCUGAGGUACAGGUACAGGUACUCCAGGUCUCCCCUCUCUCCUGCUCUGGAUGUGGGCUACAGACUCAGGUACCCCAGGUCUCCCCUAUUUCCUGCUCUGGGUGUGGGCUACAGACCCAGGUACCCCAGGUCUCCCCCAUUUCCUGCUCCGGGCGUGGGCUAUAGACCCAGGUACUCCAGGCCCAUCCACCCUGGUCACUCCAGUCACUUACUUGAGCCCCUUCGGUGGGGACACGUGCCAGUUGCGGAUGUGGUUGUCUCUGAGAUCGUGAAUCUGGAGGCAUGGACUCAGGAAUGAGGGUCCCCAAGGAGGCGUGUCCUCAGCUGGGCACCCCUGAUGGCUGCCUCUCAGGGAUGUCUCUGGAA